GCGGGCGUGGUGAAGCGGUAUCACGAGAGGCUUCCAUCCUCUAAUCGGGGGUUCGACUCCCCCCGCCCGCU
rnacentral:tRNA from 1 species